UCAGUUCCUGUCUUCUUGAAAGGAAGAUUUCAGUCAAGAGACAAAGUGCAGCAAAGCAAGAAUUUAUUGGCUGCAGCAAAAACACACUUAGGAAGGUAGGAAUAUUAGGGGAAGUUUCAGGAGAGGGUCUCAAUAGAAUAAUCAGCUUUCCAGGAACCAGCUAACAGAGGUGAGAAGAUGACUGUUACCCCUUUUUCCUGAUAAAGGAACUUGGCAAUGACAAGAGAACAUUCAACAGCCAGAGUGAUGUAAUCAUCUGAUCAGACUCAGAGUUUGCAAAAUCUUCUGUUCUCAU